rnacentral:rRNA from 1 species
GACGAACGCUGGUGGCAGGCUUAACACCUGCAAGUCGAGCGCCCCGCAAGGGGAGCGGCAGACGGGUGAGUAACGCGUGGGAAUCUACCCAUCUCUACGGAAUAACGCAUGGAAACGUGUGCUAAUACCGUAUACGUCCUUCGGGAGAAAGAUUUAUCGGAGAUGGAUGAGCCCGCGUUGGAUUAGCGCGUUGGUGGGUAAAGGCCUACCAAGGCGACGAUCCAUAGCUGGUCUGAGAGGAUGAUCAGCCACACUGGGACUGAGAACCGGCCCGGACGCAUACGGGAGGCACCAGUGGGGAAUAUUGGACAAGGGGCGCAAUCCUACUCCAGCCAUGCCGCGUGGGGGAUGAAGGCCCUAGGGUUGUAAAGCUCUUUCACCGGUGAAGAUAAUGACGGUAACCGGAGAAGAAGCCCCGGCUAACUUCGUGCCAGCCGCCGCAGUAACAC